rfam:Nematostella vectensis strain CH2 x CH6 NEMVEscaffold_210_Cont18977, whole genome shotgun sequence.
GCCAAGUGAUGAUAAUCCACAGAUCUGAAAUGAUCCACAUGUUCUUUAUGAACAUUUGAAAACCAGAGUCUUAAUUAUGAUCUGAAUCUUAGUGGGUGUCUGUGAAGUGGACACACGCUGUAAAGGCAGACCUAGAGUGACACUUCUGUGCUGACUCUAACGGGCGGCCGACUUGAGAGUUUGUCUCCUGCUUAUCCAGCCAGGUGACAGUCUGUAUUUUUAACCGACAUGAUGCACAUGGAUGAUCUUUAGUAAUCUGAUGGCU